rnacentral:tRNA from 1 species
CUUGCUUUAGUUUAAGAUUAGAAUGGUAGUUUUGGGGAUUAUUGGUUUCUUUGAGGAAAGCUUGG